GCUUAAUACAUGCAAGUCAACUUGACUUUAGAUAGCAAUAUCGAAAAGUAGGGUGGCGCACGGGUGCGUAACGCGUAGGUAAUCUGCCCUGAGGUCUGACAUAACCCGUCGAAAGGCGGGCUAACAUCAGAUGAUAUAUAAUCACGACAUCGUGGAAAUAUCAAAUCUUCGGAGCCUUGGGAUGAGCCUGCGUCUGAUUAGGUAGUUGGCGGAGUAAUAGCCCACCAAGCCUACGAUCAGUAGCUGGUCUGAGAGGAUGAUCAGCCACACUGGAACUGAGACACGGUCCAGACUCCUACGGGAGGCAGCAGUAAGGAAUAUUGCUCAAUGGGGGGAAACCCUGAAGCAGCAACGCCGCGUGAAGGAUGAAAUACUUUCGUAUGUAAACUUCUGUAAGAUGGGAAAAAUAUUCUCCUCGGGAGAAUUGAUUGUACCAUCAGAGUAAGCCCCGGCUAACUACGUG
rnacentral:rRNA from 1 species